UAGUAAUUAGCGACGUCGGUCCGCAGUCGCCACUGCCGGUUGCCAAUACCGUCGAUCAUCGAUCGUGUCCGAUCGUAUUCGAUAAUCGCGCCUUGUUCACGAGGAAAAAGCAAACUUCGACGUUCGAGUGCGAGCGCAUCGAAUGCGACUCUCGUUCGUCGGAAUGACCUGAAUAUUUCGAUCAUAUGAUGACGCCAGUAAUCCGCAUGGCUGCCAGAAGCGUAGAUCUGACGUAUUUCGGAGAGAGGCAUAAAACACGUCGGGAACACGCAAAGAAGAAAAAAGCGCGAAAGUUGAUCCGUCGCGAUGCGAAAAGAAGAGUGGAGAAACGCGACAUGGCAUGACGUCGACUUAUGUUAACGCGACUAAGCGAAAAUGAAGAGGAAAGGCAAAAAUUAUCUCUCGCGUUAUAAAAAGAUUGGCUUGAUAAUUGUAGUUAAUAUUAGAGAAAGGGAUUAUUUUUGUAAUAUUAGCCAGGGAAUUGUACCGCUAGUCUUGUACAUCUUAUACAUCUUGUACAUCUUAUAUAAUAAAAUAUAACGAUAAGAAGAA